rnacentral:lncRNA from 1 species
CAGCCACAUAGUGGGAAACAGUCACGGGAAGGGAGCAGAUCUUUUGAUAAUGAGUGGAAAUGCCUAAAGUACCAGACGAAGCACAUUCAGCCUGUGAUCUGUACCUAACAGAAAGACAGAAGGAAGACAUGGACAUAGCUUUGCAAAACAGCAAACAGAAAAAGAAAUUAUUGAGACUUGUUUGAUGACCCCACCCAUGUCCUCUAUUGGAGUACCUUCCUGUGUUUGGUCGACUAAAGAGCUCGUGAAGAAAAAAGAGAAAGAAAAAGAAAGAGAAAGGAAAAGAAAAAGGAAAAGAAAAAGAAAGAAAAACAAAAAAGAAAGGAAAAAAGGAAGAAAAAGAAAAAAAGAAAGAAAAAGAAAGAAAAAAGAAAAAGAGAAAGAAGAAAGAUAAAAGAAAAAGAAAAAAAAAUGUAGAAAAAUGUGAAUGUUUAAAAAUGAGAUUUGUGCUUAAAAAUGUCCUGUGAGUUGCAGAAGCGAUUGUUUUUCUGAUUUCUCUGGUGGUUUUCUUCCCUUGUGGAGGAGAGUCUUCCUAGAUAUAGAUAUACAGUAAAUGUUUUUGUACUUUUUUUUAAAAAUGUAAGUCCUAAUUAUUGAAGACUCAAUAAAUCAG